UGCAUCGAUGAAGAACGUAGCGAAAUGCGAUACUUGGUGUGAAUUGCAGAAUCCCGUGAAUCAUCGAGUCUUUGAAUGCAAGUUGCGCCCGAGGCCACYCGGYMGAGGGCAUGCCUACCUGGGCAUCAUGC
rnacentral:rRNA from 1 species